UACGUAGGGCGCAAGCGUUAUCCGGAAUUAUUGGGCGUAAAGCGCUCGUAGGCGGUUUGUCGCGUCUGCCGUGAAAGUCCGGGGCUCAACUCCGGAUCUGCGGUGGGUACGGGCAGACUAGAGUGAUGUAGGGGAGACUGGAAUUCCUGGUGUAGCGGUGAAAUGCGCAGAUAUCAGGAGGAACACCGAUGGCGAAGGCAGGUCACUGGGCAGGAACUGACGCUGAGGAGCGAAAGCAUGGGGAGCGAACAGG
rnacentral:rRNA from 1 species